rnacentral:rRNA from 1 species
AACGAACGCUGGCGGCGGGUUUAGGCAUGCAAGUCGAGCGAGAAAGUCUUCGGACGAGUAAAGCGGCGUAAGGGUGAGUAAUAGGUAGUCAACGUAUCCACGAGACGCGAAUAAUUCCCCGAAAGGGGUUGUAAUGCGCGAUGAGACCACAGUUCCCACGGGGAUCGAGGUCAAAGGUUCGGGAUCCUUCGGGACCGAGCGGCUCAUGGAGCGGACGACCUCCGAUUAGCUAGAUGGCGGGGUAAGGCCCACCAUGGCGAUGAUCGGUAGCCGGCCUGAGAGGGUGUUCGGCCACACUGGGACUGAGCACUGCCCAGACUCCUACGGGAGGCUGCAGUCGCGAAUCAUUCACAAUGGACGCAAGUCUGAUGAUGCCACGCCGCGUGC